GUCAGUGUGGCAUAGUGGUUUGAGUGUGGGACAAUGAUUUGGAAGAUCAGGGUUCAAUUCCCAUCUCAGCCA